rnacentral:lncRNA from 1 species
AUGAGGCCCAGAAUUUGGGGGGAAAUAACUCCAUGUGCACACCAGCCCCCAAACCUCAUUUAACAGUGAUGCCUUCAAAAAUAAAUCUUUCCCCCAACCUAACAGUGAUGCCUUCGAAAAAAAGUCUUUCCUUAUGCUGUUUCAUACAUAUGGUAGAAAAUAAAAUUGUCAAGAUAUUUAUUGUGUUAACAUGUGAGACAUACAAUUUGCUCAGUAAAAAUAGCACAUGAAAAAAUAUUAUAAGCUUAUAUUCAUAAAGAAAUGGGUAUGUUAUUACCUCUUUUUCUUGCUUGCUCAGGACUAUUAAUUUGACAAGGAAUCCACCACUUCAGAUCCUUAUGAAACCCAGGAAAAGGUGGGGCACAGUGGCUCACCUGAGGGCAACAGUUGGAGACCAGCCUGACCAACACAGUGAAACCCCAUCUCUACUAAAAAUAACAAAAAUUAGCUGGGUGUGGUGGCGGACACCUGUAAUCCCAGCUAUUUGGGAGGCUGAGGCAGGAGAAUUACUUGAACGGGGUGUGGGGGUGGGGGGUGGAGGUUGCAGUGAGCUGAGAUUGCACCAUUGCACUCUAGCCUGGGCAACAGAGCGAGACUGUCUCAAAAAAAAAAAAAAAAAAAAAAAAGGCCCAGGAAAAACACAAAAAUAGCAAUGGUAUUAAAACUGUUCAGAAUCGGCCAGACACGGUGGCUCGCACCUGUAACACUAGCACUUUGGGGGGCGGGGCAGGUGGAUCACCUGAGGUCAGGAGUUGGAGACCAGCCCGACCAACAUGAUGAAACCCAGUCUCUACUAAAAAUACAAAAAAUAGGCCGGGCGCGGUGGCUCACGCCUGUGAUCCCAGCACUUUGGGAGGCCAAGGCGGGCGGAUCACGAGGUCAGGAGAUUGAGACCAUCCUGGCUAACACCGUGAAACCCCGUCUUUACUAAAAAUACAAAAAAAAAAAAUUAGCUGGGCGCGGUGGCGGGUACCUGUAGCCCCAGCUACUCAGGAGGCUGAGGCAGGAGAAUGGCACGAACCCAGGAGGCGGAGCUUGCAGUGAGCCGAGAUCGCACCACUACACUCCAGCCUGGGCAACAGAGCGACACUCUGUCUCAAAAAAAAAUAAAAAAAUAAAAUAAAAAUAAAAAUACAAAAAAUUAGCGGGGGGUGGUGGCGGGUGCCUGUAAUCCCAGCUACUCAGGAGGCUGAGGCAGGAGAAUUGCUUGAACCCGGGAGGUGGAGGUUGCAGUGAGCCAAGCCUGCACUCCAGCCUGGGCGACAAGAGUGAGACUCCGUCUCCAAAACAAAACAAAACCACCACCACCAAAAAACCUGUUCAGACUGAACACAGAACUCAAGGGCAUUAUUAUAACAGAUUACAAAGUGAAUUUUCUAUAGCUUUGCAAAAGUAUCUAAAUCCCAUACAUCCUUUUAACAGCAAUUUUCAUUAUUGAAGACAUGACUUAAGUACAAAAAGAAAAGUCCAAACUGUCAGCUUUCAGUCCUCCACAUUCCCCUCUUUAAUAUGGUAUUUUGCACUAUAUACAUUAAUGAAAAUUUGAAACAAAC